UAGGGAAUCUUCGGCAAUGGGGGGAACCCUGACCGAGCAACGCCGCGGGAGUGAAGAAGGUUUUCGGAUCGUAAAGCUCUGUUGUUAAGGAAGAACGAGUGUGAGAAUGGAAAGUUCAUGCUGUGACGGUACUUAACCAGAAAGGGACGGCUAACUACGUGCCAGCAGCCGCGGUAAUACGUAGGUCCCGAGCGUUGCCCGGAUUUAUUGGGCGUAAAGCGAGCGCAGGCGGUUAGAAAAGUCUGAAGUGAAAGGCAGUGGCUCAACCAUUGUAGGCUUUGGAAACUGUUUAACUUGAGUGCAGAAGGGGAGAGUGGAAUUCCAUGUGUAGCGGUGAAAUGCGUAGAUAUAUGGAGGAACACCGGUGGCGAAAGCGGCUCUCUGGUCUGUAACUGACGCUGAGGCUCGAAAGCGUGGGGAGCGAACAGG
rnacentral:rRNA from 1 species